rnacentral:rRNA from 1 species
CCUACGGGUGGCUGCAGUAGGGAAUCUUCCGCAAUGGACGAAAGUCUGACGGAGCAACGCCGCGUGAGCGAAGAAGGCCUUCGGGUCGUAAAGCUCUGUUGUUAGGGAAGAACAAGUACCGGAGUAACUGCCGGUACCGUGACGGUACCUAACCAGAAAGCCACGCCUAACUACGUGCCAGCAGCCGCGGUAAUACGUAGGCGGCAAGCGUUGUCCGGAAUUAUUGGGCGUAAAGCGCGCGCAGGCGGUUCCUUAAGUCUGAUGUGAAAGCCCACGGCUCAACCGUGGGGGGUCAGUGGAAACUGGUGAACUUGAGUGCAGAAGAGGAGAGCGGAAUUCAACGUGUAGUGGUGAAAUGCGUAGAGAUGUGGAGGAACACCAGUGGCGAGGGCGGCUGUCUGGUCUGUUACUGACGCUGAGGCGCGAAAGCGUGGGGAGCAAAAAGGAUUAGAUACCCUAGUAGUC